GUACGGGAGGCAGCAGUGGGGAAUAUUGCACAAUGGGGGAAACCCUGAUGCAGCGACGCCGCGUGCGGGAUGAAGGCCUUCGGGUUGUAAACCGCUUUCAGCAGGGGCGAAUUCAGACGGUACCUGCAGAAGAAGCGCCGGCUAACUACGUGCCAGCAGCCGCGGUAAUACGUAGGGCGCAAGCGUUGUCCGGAAUUAUUGGGCGUAAAGAGCUCGUAGGCGGCCUGUUGCGUCCGCUGUGAAAACCCGGGGCUUAACCCCGGGCCUGCAGUGGAUACGGGCAGGCUGGAGGCAGGCAGGGGAGAACGGAAUUCCCGGUGUAGCGGUGAAAUGCGCAGAUAUCGGGAGGAACACCGGUGGCGAAGGCGGUUCUCUGGGCCUGUACUGACGCUGAGGAGCGAAAGCGUGGGGAGCGAACAGGAUUAGAUACCCCAGUAGUC
rnacentral:rRNA from 1 species